rnacentral:rRNA from 1 species
AGAGUUUGAUCAUGGCUCAGAGCGAACGCUGGCGGCAGGCCUAACACAUGCAAGUCGAACGGACCCUUCGGGGUUAGUGGCGGACGGGUGAGUAACACGUGGGAACGUGCCUUUAGGUUCGGAAUAGCUCCUGGAAACGGGUGGUAAUGCCGAAUGUGCCCUUCGGGGGAAAGAUUUAUCGCCUUUAGAGCGGCCCGCGUCUGAUUAGCUAGUUGGUGAGGUAAAGGCUCACCAAGGCUACGAUCAGUAGCUGGUCUGAGAGGAUGACCAGCCACAUUGGGACUGAGACACGGCCCAAACUCCUACGGGAGGCAGCAGUGGGGAAUCUUGCGCAAUGGGCGAAAGCCUGACGCAGCCAUGCCGCGUGAAUGAUGAAGGUCUUAGGAUUGUAAAAUUCUUUCAGUAGGGACGAUAAUGACGGUACCUACAGAAGAAGCCCCGGCUAACUUCGUGCCAGCAGCCGCGGUAAUACGAAGGGGGCUAGCGUUGCUCGGAAUUACUGGGCGUAAAGGGAGCGUAGGCGGACAUUUAAGUCAGGGGUGAAAUCCCAGAGCUCAACUCUGGAACUGCCUUUGAUACUGGGUGUCUUGAGUGUGAUAGAGGUAUGUGGAACUCCGAGUGUAGAGGUGAAAUUCGUAGAUAUUCGGAAGAACACCAGUGGCGAAGGCGACAUACUGGAUCAUUACUGACGCUGAGGCUCGAAAGCGUGGGGAGCAAACAGGAUUAGAUACCCUGGUAGUCCACGCCGUAAACGAUGAUUGCUAGUUGUCGGGUUGUUUACAACUCGGUGACGCAGCUAACGCAUUAAGCAAUCCGCCUGGGGAGUACGGUCGCAAGAUUAAAACACAAAGGAAUUGACGG